GAUGAACGCUGGCGGCGUGCCUAAUACAUGCAAGUCGAGCGAACAGACGAGGAGCUUGCUCCUCUGACGUUAGCGGCGGACGGGUGAGUAACACGUGGAUAACCUACCUAUAAGACUGGGAUAACUUCGGGAAACCGGAGCUAAUACCGGAUAAUAUAUUGAACCGCACGGUUCAAUAGUGAAAGACGGUUUUGCUGUCACUUAUAGAUGGAUCCGCGCCGCAUUAGCUAGUUGGUAAGGUAACGGCUCACCAAGGCAACGAUGCGUAGCCGACCUGAGAGGGUGAUCGGCCACACUGGAACUGAGACACGGUCCAGACUCCUACGGGAGGCAGCAGUAGGGAAUCUUCCGCAAUGGGCGAAAGCCUGACGGAGCAACGCCGCGUGAGUGAUGAAGGUCUUCGGAUCGUAAAACUCUGUUAUUAGGGAAGAACAAAUGUGUAAGUAACUAUGCACGUCUUGACGGUACCUAAUCAGAAAGCCACGGCUAACUACGUG
rnacentral:rRNA from 1 species